GAUUGAGGACGGGACCGGACCUGUGCUGGUUUCUGUUUGCGGUGAUAUCUCGAAUCAAUGACUAUCAACGGACGAGAAUCCGGCACAGGUCUGCUCCUUCCUC
rnacentral:pre_miRNA from 13 species